GAAGGAGUUGUUACAAAAAUGCCAUUUGUACCAACAAAGUACUAUAAGCCUUGAACAUUUCUCACUUGCUCCCUCUUGACCAGUUUUCCUAUAAUCUGAAUGCUGUAAUCAAUUUUUAAUGCCAUUGUCCUAUUGGCAUCAAGUACAAGGAGAAUGCAUUGCAUUAAUAACUCAUUUUCAUUUCAAACAUGUGUGAUAGUUGAGUUCAUCAUGUUGUCUUCAAAUAUUCUGACAUUUUUCUUAGCUCUUACCAACUUCUACUAUAGCAAAUUCUGCAUGACAACCAACAAGGACGUUGGUCUAGUAAUCUAAGGCCUUGCUGGAUUUUCAAGAUUACCAAAAGGUCAAAUGUUUAAUUCCUAGGAGUGACACUUGUUGGGAGGGACAACCACGAAUCCCGAAAAGGAUUAGUUCUUUAUGGCAAGGAGAUACUCUUGGUAGUACCAAAAAAGAAAUCGGCAUGCCAUCCACAAAACUGUAUGUUCUGUUGUAAAAGGUAAGGUUUUCUUGUGAGCUUAUCACUCACAAUAUCCAUAACAUGAAUUUGGGAUUGAUCAGCAAUAUAAACAUUCCAAGCUUACAAGUUACAACAAAUAAGAUAUUAUCUUAAGCCUCCAGGGUAGAAUUGUUAGAGAUCUAAAGUUUUAAGUUCAAUACAAACAUGGUAGGACAGUAGGAGCACCAUGAAUAGAAAACACACACCAAAAGGAUUCAUAGAAAACUAUUUUGAUGUUGUAGGAAAAAGCUCCUACCUCAGAGGUGCAGUUGCAUGAUUCAUUAUGUAAAUGCGAAUAUAUGAUCAUGCCCACAAGACCACAACCAUUGAUUUAUAAAUAGAUAAUCACAAUAUCAUGACAACUAUAGAUGGUAAAAUGGGCAUUGCCCACGGACAUGCCCGUAUAGUCCACAUUUUUUGCGGGCAGGGUAUACAAAUUCUGUCCAUUUGCCUGUUUUGCCCGUCAACUUUGUGGGCAUUUCUCUUGGGCAUGCGGGCAGCCCAUAAACAUAAUUUAAGGAAAAACUAAGAAAAUUUUAAAUAAGUUAUGAUGUAAUGUAAUUUUUAAUUCCUAAGAAAAUUGUAAUCUAAUAUCUAUAAGCCUUGAACAUUUCUCACUUGCUCCCUCUUGACCAGUUUUCCUAUAAUCUGAAUGCUGUAAUCAAUUUUUAAUGCCAUUGUCCUAUUGGCAUCAAGUACAAGGAGAAUGCAUUGCAUUAAUAACUCAUUUUCAUUUCAAACAUGUGUGAUAGUUGAGUUCAUCAUGUUGUCUUCAAAUAUUCUGACAUUUUUCUUAGCUCUUACCAACUUCUACUAUAGCAAAUUCUGCAUGACAACCAACAAGGACGUUGGUCUAGUAAUCUAAGG
rnacentral:lncRNA from 1 species